rnacentral:rRNA from 1 species
UUAAGCGACUAAGCGUACACGGUGGAUGCCCUGGCAGUCAGAGGCGAUGAAGGACGUGCUAAUCUGCGAAAAGCGUCGGUAAGGUGAUAUGAACCGUUAUAACCGGCGAUGUCCGAAUGGGGAAACCCAGUGCAAUUCGUUGCACUAUCGUUAACUGAAUACAUAGGUUAACGAGGCGAACCGGGGGAACUGAAACAUCUAAGUACCCCGAGGAAAAGAAAUCAACCGAGAUUCCCCCAGUAGCGGCGAGCGAACGGGGAGCAGCCCAGAGUCUGAAUCAGCUUGUGUGUUAGUGGAACGGUCUGGAAAGUCCGACGGUACAGGGUGAUAGUCCCGUACACCAAAAUGCACAGGCUGUGAACUCGAAGAGUAGGGCGGGACACGUGGUAUCCUGUCUGAAUAUGGGGGGACCAUCCUCCAAGGCUAAAUACUCCUGACUGACCGAUAGUGAACCAGUACCGUGAGGGAAAGGCGAAAAGAACCCCGGCGAGGGGAGUGAAAAAGAACCUGAAACCGUGUACGUACAAGCAGUGGGAGCACCUUCGGGUGUGACUGCGUACCUUUUGUAUAAUGGGUCAGCGACUUAUAUUCUGUAGCAAGGUUAACCGUAUAGGGGAGCCGCAGGGAAACCGAGUCUUAACUGGGCGUUAAGUUGCAGGGUAUAGACCCGAAACCCGGUGAUCUAGCCAUGGGCAGGUUGAAGGUUGGGUAACACUAACUGGAGGACCGAACCGACUAAUGUUGAAAAAUUAGCGGAUGACUUGUGGCUGGGGGUGAAAGGCCAAUCAAACCGGGAGAUAGCUGGUUCUCCCCGAAAGCUAUUUAGGUAGCGCCUCGUGAACUCAUCUUCGGGGGUAGAGCACUGUUUCGGCUAGGGGGUCAUCCCGACUUACCAACCCGAUGCAAACUACGAAUACCGAAGAAUGUUAUCACGGGAGACACACGGCGGGUGCUAACGUCCGUCGUGAAGAGGGAAACAACCCAGACCGCCAGCUAAGGUCCCAAAGUCAUGGUUAAGUGGGAAACGAUGUGGGAAGGCACAGACAGCCAGGAUGUUGGCUUAGAAGCAGCCAUCAUUUAAAGAAAGCGUAAUAGCUCACUGGUCGAGUCGGCCUGCGCGGAAGAUGUAACGGGGCUAAACCAUGCACCGAAGCUGCGGCAGCGACACUAUGUGUUGUUGGGUAGGGGAGCGUUCUGUAAGCCUGCGAAGGUGACCUGUGAGGGUUGCUGGAGGUAUCAGAAGUGCGAAUGCUGACAUAAGUAACGAUAAAGCGGGUGAAAAGCCCGCUCGCCGGAAGACCAAGGGUUCCUGUCCAACGUUAAUCGGGGCAGGGUGAGUCGACCCCUAAGGCGAGGCCGAAAGGCGUAGUCGAUGGGAAACAGGUUAAUAUUCCUGUACUUGGUGUUACUGCGAAGGGGGGACGGAGAAGGCUAUGUUAGCCGGGCGACGGUUGUCCCGGUUUAAGCAUGUAGGCUGAUUGUCCAGGCAAAUCCGGAUAAUCAAGGCUGAGGUGUGAUGACGAGGCACUACGGUGCUGAAGUAACAAAUGCCCUGCUUCCAGGAAAAGCCUCUAAGCAUCAGGUAACAUUAAAUCGUACCCCAAACCGACACAGGUGGUCAGGUAGAGAAUACCAAGGCGCUUGAGAGAACUCGGGUGAAGGAACUAGGCAAAAUGGUGCCGUAACUUCGGGAGAAGGCACGCUGGUGUGUAGGUGAAGUCCCUGCGGAUGGAGCUGAGACCAGUCGAAGAUACCAGCUGGCUGCAACUGUUUAUUAAAAACACAGCACUGUGCAAACACGAAAGUGGACGUAUACGGUGUGACGCCUGCCCGGUGCCGGAAGGUUAAUUGAUGGGGUUAUCCGUAAGGAGAAGCUCUUGAUCGAAGCCCCGGUAAACGGCGGCCGUAACUAUAACGGUCCUAAGGUAGCGAAAUUCCUUGUCGGGUAAGUUCCGACCUGCACGAAUGGCGUAAUGAUGGCCAGGCUGUCUCCACCCGAGACUCAGUGAAAUUGAACUCGCUGUGAAGAUGCAGUGUACCCGCGGCAAGACGGAAAGACCCCGUGAACCUUUACUAUAGCUUGACACUGAACAUUGAGCCUUGAUGUGUAGGAUAGGUGGGAGGCUUUGAAGCGUGGACGCCAGUCUGCGUGGAGCCAACCUUGAAAUACCACCCUUUAAUGUUUGAUGUUCUAACGUUGGCCCCUGACCGGGGUUGCGGACAGUGUCUGGUGGGUAGUUUGACUGGGGCGGUCUCCUCCCAAAGCGUAACGGAGGAGCACGAAGGUUAGCUAAUCCUGGUCGGACAUCAGGAGGUUAGUGCAAUGGCAUAAGCUAGCUUGACUGCGAGCGUGACGGCGCGAGCAGGUGCGAAAGCAGGUCAUAGUGAUCCGGUGGUUCUGAAUGGAAGGGCCAUCGCUCAACGGAUAAAAGGUACUCCGGGGAUAACAGGCUGAUACCGCCCAAGAGUUCAUAUCGACGGCGGUGUUUGGCACCUCGAUGUCGGCUCAUCACAUCCUGGGGCUGAAGUAGGUCCCAAGGGUAUGGCUGUUCGCCAUUUAAAGUGGUACGCGAGCUGGGUUUAGAACGUCGUGAGACAGUUCGGUCCCUAUCUGCCGUGGGCGCUGGAGAAUUGAGGGGGGCUGCUCCUAGUACGAGAGGACCGGAGUGGACGCAUCACUGGUGUUCGGGUUGUCAUGCCAAUGGCACUGCCCGGUAGCUAAAUGCGGAAGAGAUAAGUGCUGAAAGCAUCUAAGCACGAAACUUGCCCCGAGAUGAGUUCUCCCUGAGACU